rnacentral:lncRNA from 1 species
CCCUUUCAGGGACUGCUCUCUACAACUUAUAUGGCUGCAGCAGCAGCUUAUCUGACCAUUUAAGGCUCUACACUGUGCAGACAGAAAAGGAUCACACUCCUCUCUCAGACACAUUAUAAGAAAUUUUAUACAAGGCCUGUGCAUUUUCAAAACACAGGAUUGACCUAAUGAGCAGGAAUUUGAGACCAGAAAGAGAAGCAAACGAUAUCACCAAAGUCCUAACUCUAUCCUCCCACUCUGUGAACUACAGAAAAGGAAGCAGCAGAAGAAAUAAUAGAGGGAAUAACAAAGUGACAGAAGCAUAGAGGGAAAAGCAGCAGGUGGCUUUUCAUCAAGGGGCCUUUGGGUAAGAUUUACAGGAGACAAUGUUUUCUCUGCGCCUCUGGGACUUGAAAGGUCAUGGAAAGAGGACUCACUCGCGACAGAAUUCAAACACUCGUAGUUGUGUCUCAAAGUCCUCCGCGGACAUCACCAGAAGGCAUGGUUUCAGGGGUGUUUUUCAGAAGGGCGAUGGAUUUCUUUGGAUCCACGUAGUCUCUCUUAUCUGGUUAGAGUUUCUUCUUUUUCUUUUUGUUCUUUUUUGACACAGAGUCUCACUCUGUCGCCCAGGCUGCAGGGCAGUGGCACCAUCUUGGCUCGCUGCAACCUCCGCGUCCUGGGUUCAAGCAAUUCUCCUGCCUCAGCCUCCCGAGUAGCUGGGACUAGAGGUGUGCACCACCAUGCCUGGCUAAUUUUUGUAUUUUUAGUAGAGACAGAGUUUCACCAUGUUGGCCAGGCUGGUUCUCGAACUUCUGACCUCAAGUGGUCCUCCUGCCUCGGCUUCCCAGAGUGCUGGGAUUACAGGUGUGGGCCACCGCGCCCGGCCUUAUCUGGUUAGAGUUUCUUAGGUGGGAAUGGAGUUAGCAGUCCCAGACCAGGCCAAGUUAGGACAAGCUGAGAAAUGCAUCCUGUGGUUGACACAUGGUGAGGAAUACCCAAGCAAAAUACUCUUGUGUGAGGCUUAGACUCUGUAAGAAUCUACCACUUUAUGAAGAGACUUUCUUCUCCCAUCUACCAGAUUUUCCACCAAAUUUGUUGCAGCCUUGUUAUGGGCUGAAUUGUGCCCUCUUAAAUUCAUGUAUCGAAGGACUGGCCCCCUAGGACCUCAGAAUGUGCCUGUGCCCUGUAUUUGAAGACAGGGACUUUAAAGAGGGGAAAAGUUAAACUGAAGUCAUUAGGGUGGGCCUUAAUCCAAUCUAGCUGGUGUCCUUAAGAAGAGUGCCGGGCGCAGUGGCUCACGCCUAUGAUGCCACUGCACUCCAGCCUGGGCAACAGUGUGAGACUUGUCUCGAAACAAAAAAGGAGGAAAUUUGGACACACAAAAAAGACACCAGACACCAGGGAUGCAUUCAUAGAGGAAAGGCCAUAUGAGAUCACAGCAAGAAGGUGGCCGUCGGCAAGACAAGGAGGAAGGCUUCAGAAGAAACCAGACCUGCUCUCACCUUGAUCUUGGACCUCGAGCCUGGAGAACUUUGAGAAAUAAAUUUCUGCCAUCAAAGCCACCAGUCUGUGGUACUUUGUUAUGGAAGCCCAAGCAGACUAAUACAACCUGCAGGCUUUAAACGAUGAACAAGGGAUGUGACUUUAUUGUAGGACCAGUAAUUUGAAUUUCUUGCAAACGCUUGAGUGUAAGCAUUAGUCAAUAGUCAGUGAUCUGACUGGAAAGAAGCAGAGGGCACAAGUUCAUGGCAGUGUGCUCAGGGGUACCUGGCCCCUCUGUGAAGAGCCCCAUAGAAGACAAGGCACUUGGGCCCUGUCUCAGGGGCAGCACAAGCUUCCAGGACACCACCGUCACUGGUCACUUGCUGCUCCCCACUGUGGCCCUGGACAGAUGAGUC